ACCGCGGUAGCCCAGUUGGUAGUGGCAUCGGCAGUUCAGAUACCGAAGGUCGCAGGUUCAAACCUGCCUGCGGUG